rnacentral:misc_RNA from 1 species
GCCAGUCUUGCUACAUUGACACCAUAGCUUUUAGGGCAUGCACCAGGCAUCAACCUAUAUAGAAAUGUAACUUCCUCCACUUCUCCAACCCCAGUUCCAACUUGACAUGCCAUGUGGCAGAGUGAGACCUUGGGAUCUUUCUGAUAGUCUACAGCUAAUCGAUGAUAGUGAGUUGAAAACAUUCCUCGACACUGCACCUCGUGGACAAAAUGAUCAAGUACUGCUUCCGCUAUUGCUUGUCCAUCUGAUGUUGAUGUGCCACGUCCAAGUUCAUCCAGUGCCACCAAUGA